AUGUUAUAAAGAAAGCUCGAGGGAAUAGACCCGAUGAAAGCUUAGCAACCCUUUGCAAACGAAGAAGGUGCUACAUUCUAUCCCAUUAGGGAAAAGAUAACAA
rnacentral:ncRNA from 2 species